rnacentral:rRNA from 1 species
UACGGAGGAUCCGAGCGUUAUCCGGAUUUAUUGGGUUUAAAGGGUGCGUAGGUGGAUUGGUAAGUCAGUGGUGAAAGUUUGCAGCUUAACUGUAAAAUUGCCGUUGAAACUGCCGGUCUUGAGUGCAAAUGAGGUAGGCGGAAUGCGUCGUGUAGCGGUGAAAUGCUUAGAUAUGACGCAGAACUCCGAUUGCGAAGGCAGCUUACUGGGAUGCAACUGACGCUGAGGCACGAAAGCGUGGGUAUCAAACAGGAUUAGAUACCCCGGUA